rnacentral:lncRNA from 1 species
CUAUUUAAAAAAGCAAAAAUGUCCGAUAGCAAGUUUAUCGGUUAAUUCAAUAAGAAAUGGGAGUUCUCGCUCGAUUUAAUUGGUACUAUCUAAUUGAAUCCGAUUCAAUCGCUUACUGAUGAGAUAGAAAUAAUGAGUUUGAAUUUGACAGUUCAACCAACCUUUCCUUCUUCGAGAUAUCGAGUAGAUGAAGAAAAAUCCUGAGAAAGUCUUUACUUUUAUUUAUCUGCAUCUCUUUUCUAUUAUAGACAAUCCCAUCUAGUCAGAUUCAUAUAU